GGAAGGACAUCCUGGAGUUUGGCCCAUGACAACGGUGGGGAGGAGAUGAAAUAAGCAGGUGCCUUCGCCUUCCAAAGGUCCCGGACAUCCAGUUACAAAAACAAGAGUGCAGAAGCAGCCAGCAGCCUCCCGUGACCUUGAAUCAGAAGGAAAGCGGGAAACAGUGUACACCGGAGGCGCCCAGGAUCUCACUCUAUCGCCCAGGUUGGAGUGCAGUGGUGCAAUCUUGGCUCACUGCAACCUCCACCUCCCGGGUUCAAGCGAUUCUCCUGACUCAAGCCUCCUGAGCAGCUGGGAUUACAGACAUGUGCCACCACACCCAGCUAACUUUUAUGGAUUGGGGACCCAGUUAGCAAUCACCUGUGAGAGAGACCAGGACUGGAGCGGCUUGGACCAGGAUACUCCUAUCAUCGACCUCCUCCCACAGCAAGGAAGAAGCAGAGUUGAGGUUUGAACCUGGUGUAUGGAACCCCAGAGCCGGAACCCUUUAGCAGGGGAGAGGAAGGGGUGAGGGGAGGGGCAGUCACCCAGGGAAAUUGAGUAGAAUUAACUAACCCCUGCUGGGUCCUGGCAGAGCCCCUGGUGCCAGGGCCCCCAGGAGAGGAAGCAGAAAAAAAAAUCACCUCAUGCCACCAGCAGGUUCUUAAAACAAUCUCACCCCUCAAGCAAUAAAGACGGAAGCAAGAAAGUCAAGGCCAGCAUCCAAAACCACAAUUCAGAUGUUCUCUGGUCUGUGGUAUUGGGGUUGAUGGAUAAAGAUCGUAGAUGUGAUAGUGUCCAACAGACAUGGUGGGUAUCAGUCACAGGACAGCCCUCAUGGCACCUGCUCCAUCAGAGUGGAUAUUGGUGGGGAGAGCUGUUGGGUUUAUUUCCUUACUAUUCUUUCCUUUUUUUUUUUUUUUUUUUUGAGACGGAGUCUCGCUCUUUCAUCCAGGCUGGAGUGCAGUGGUGCGAUCUCAGCUCACUGCAACCUCCACCUCCCAGGUUCAAGCCAUCUUCCUGCCUCAGCCUCCCAAGUAGCUGGGAUUACAGGUGCUCGCCACCACACCCGGCUAAUUUUUGUAUUUUUUUUUUAGUAGAGAAGGGGUUUCACCAUGUUAACCAGGAUGGUCUCGAGCUCCUGACCUCAAGUGAUGCACCCACCUCGGCCUCCCAAAGUGCUGGGAUUACAGUGCCCGGCCCAGGCAGGACUAUUUUUAAGACAAUUGAGCAUGAUUUUAGAAGGCUGCACAAUUGACAUUUUGCCUACUUCCACGUUUCGGUACUUUUCCUGAACAAUGUUUCUUCGUUCCCCCUCUCCUAGUAACGGACAUUUACGUUGCUCUGAUUCUCUGCCAUCCCAAGCAGCACCAUGAGGAACAGCGCUAUGCAGGACCUUCUGCGGAUGCACCUGUGCCAGUCUGUCUGGCUGGGGCCUGCACACUCCGAGAAAGGACUGUGCACUCUGAGGAAGGACUGCGCAGUCUGAGGAAGGGCUGAGCACUCUUGUGGAAGUACCGCCCACUCUGAGGAAGGACCGUGCACUCUGAGGAAGGACUGCGCAGUCUGAGGAAAGGCUGCGCACUCUCGUGGAAGUACCGCCCACUCUGAGGAAGGACUGCUAGGUUGUCUCUCUGGAAAGUUUUCUGUUGCCCAUGCGGAGAAUAUUCAAGUUUUGUUUCGGCCUUCCAGAAUUUCCCUCCUGUUUGGGGGGGAUCAUCCUCCACUCCGUUAUACAGCCUCGGAGGCAGACACCACUCGUCAUCGGAUGUCAAACCAAAGCUCCCCCAGGCUUAGCAGGUGUGGGUGCAGGAGGGUGCGGGAGUCAGAUCUCCAUCUAUCUGGUCUCGCCUUGUUUCUAGUCCUUUGCAGGGGUGUUCUUCCAGCAUCCUCCAAUCCAUCCGGGACUGUCCAUCUUGAGUGACACAAAAGAGUGGGGCAGGACAGCCUGGCCGACUGUCCCUCCGAGACCAGACACGGGGUGUGUGUGUGUGUGUGUGUGUGUGUGUGUGUGUGUUGGAGGGGUCCCCAAAGGGGCACAGAAGUCCCGGGAGGCUUUUCAGAAGAGAAGAGAUGGAGCCUGAAUGGGCAAAAGCAGCAGCUGUGCUGUUAGGAGCUGGAGUGAAUACUGUGAGCCCAGACACCUGGGAUGAGAUCCACAGAUGUGGCCCGGUCCCUUACUCUUUUGGUGCCUCAGUUUCCCCAUCUGUACCAUGGGGAUAACAACAGUGCAUGCCUCAUCGGUUGGUUAUGAUGAUAAACAAACUGGAUUUUAAAAAGGUCUGGCCCAGCAGACUCACUCUGUGUUUGCUGUUAUCAGAACCCUGUCCUCAGACCCUGGCCUGACACCACCUCAUACUCCCUCUCAUGCCUCUUAGUCACUUCCUGAAAGUCUGCAGCAGACGACACGGCUUCUCCCAGCCCGUCUUCUUCCCCACACGGUGGGCAUGGUAACGUCCUUAACAUGCACCUGUCAGUGUGAAAGCAGCAGGCUGAGAUCACACACCAAGUUCCCGUAAGUAUUCUGCAUUCAUUACCUUAUUUUUCUUUUGAGACGAAGUCUCGCUCUGUUGCCCAGGCUGGAGUAGGGCAGUGGUGCGAUCUCAGCUCACUGCAACCUCUGCCUCCUGGGUUCAAGUGAUCCUCCCACCUCAGCCUCCGGAGUAGCUGGGAUUACAGGUGUCCACCAUCAUGCCUGGCUAAUUUUUGUGUUUUCAGUAGAGUCGGGGUUUCAGCAUGUUAGCCGAGCUGGUCUUGAACUCCUGAGCUCAAGUGAUCCACCCACCCGAGCCUCCUAAAGUGUUGCGAUUACAGGUAUGAGCCACUGCACCCAGCCUUAUUUAAUUUUCAAAAACAGUCCCUUUUCAGGAGGGGCAUUACUACCAGUCCUGUCUUAGGAGG
rnacentral:lncRNA from 1 species